GCCUGGUGGUUCCUAGAGACAGCUGCUUCCGUGCUGAUCUAUAGGUUAUGAUUGACAGGCGCACAUCAUAAUAACCCUCUGUGAUUUUAUGCAUGGGAGCUGAUAUCCCAAAGCAGCUUCCAUAGCCCGGUUGCAGAGACAUUC